AGCGUUGAAUUGAAGCCCGAGUAAACGGCGGCCGUAACUAUAACGGUCCUAAGGUAGCGAAAUUCCUUGUCGGUUAAAUACCGACCUGCAUGAAUGGCGUAACGAGAUGGGAGCUGUCUCAACCAGAGAUUCAGUGAAAUUGUAGUGGAGGUGAAAAUUCCUCCUACCCGCGGCAAGACGGAGAGACCCCGUGGACCUUUACUACAAC
rnacentral:rRNA from 1 species